AGAGGGUGCAAGCGUUAAUCGGAAUUACUGGGCGUAAAGCGCACGUAGGUGGAUAUUUAAGUUGGCUGUGAAAUUCCCGGGCUUAACCUGGGCCGGUCAGCCAAAACUGGGUAUCUAGAGUACAGUAGAGGGAAGUGGAAUUUCCGGUGUAGCGGUGAAAUGCGUAGAUAUCGGAAGGAACAUCAGUGGCGAAGGCGACUUUCUGGACUGAUACUGACACUGAGGUGCGAAAGCGUGGGUAGCGAACAGGAUUAGAUACCCUGGUAGUCCACGCUGUAAACGAUGAGAACUAGCUGUUGGUGAUAUAAAAAUCAUUAGUGGCGCAGCUAACGCGUUAAGUUCUCCGCCUGGGGAUACGACCGCAAGGUUA
rnacentral:rRNA from 1 species